UACGUAGGGGGCUAGCGUUGUCCGGAAUCAUUGGGCGUAAAGCGCGUGUAGGCGGUCCGGUAAGUCCGCUGUGAAAGUCGGGGGCUCAACCCUCGGAUGCCGGUGGAUACUGUCGGGCUUGAGUACGGAAGAGGCGAGUGGAAUUCCUGGUGUAGCGGUGAAAUGCGCAGAUAUCAGGAGGAACACCAACGGCGAAGGCAGCUCGCUGGGACGGUACUGACACUAAGGCGCGAAAGCGUGGGGAGCGAACAGG
rnacentral:rRNA from 1 species